GUCCUACGGGGCGCAGCAGUGGGGAAUAUUGCACAAUGGGGGAAACCCUGAUGCAGCGACGCCGCGUGAGUGAAGAAGUAAUUCGUUAUGUAAAGCUCUAUCAGCAGGGAAGAAAAUGACGGUACCUGAGUAAGAAGCCCCGGCUAACUACGUGCCAGCAGCCGCGGUAAUACGUAGGGGGCAAGCGUUGUCCGGAAUCAUUGGGCGUAAAGAGUUCGUAGGUGGCAUAUUAAGUCUGGUGUUAAAUGCAGAAGCUCAACUUCUGUUCGGCACUGGAUACUGGUAAGCUUGAAUGCGGUAGAGGG
rnacentral:rRNA from 1 species